rnacentral:rRNA from 1 species
AUUGAACGCUGGCGGAAUGCUUUACACAUGCAAGUCGAACGGUAGAGGGGGCAACCCCUUGAGAGUGGCGAACGGGUGAGUAAUAUAUCGGAACGUGCCCAGUCGUGGGGAUAACGUAGCGAAAGCUACGCUAAUACCGCAUACGAUCUAUGGAUGAAAGCGGGGGAUCGCAAGACCUCGCGCGAUUGGAGCGGCCGAUAUCAGAUUAGGUAGUUGGUGAGGUAAAGGCUCACCAAGCCGACGAUCUGUAGCUGGUCUGAGAGGACGACCAGCCACACUGGGACUGAGACACGGCCCAGACUCCUACGGGAGGCAGCAGUGGGGUAAGUUUUGGGAACAAUGGGCGCAAGCCUGAUCCAGCAAUGCCGCGUGCAGGAUGAA